CAGUUUCACGGUAGAUGUACCUGUCAGUGGUGAUGACGUGGAGGAGGAAAGAUCUUGCUGGCGCUGAAUGAUGAGCAGUUCCCAGCGUGCUGUGAGCAAUCCACCGAAAACCAACAGACCAAAGCUUGUCCGUGAGUGAGUCACUCUGUGAGAAGCCCUCCCUCCCGUGGGCAGUCCUGAGAGCCCAUGGAUGAGAGCCACAGCUUCGAACUGGAUUGGACCAAGGAAGUGUGGUCGAGAGCAGCUUGAGAUCAUGGUCUCUGAAAGCCUUUUGGGUGCUGAUAAUCAUCGGCUGGCCCAACCAUCUUCCCACCCAGGGAGACAAGCUCUUUCUGACGCAGCCUCAGGAGCUGUGGGAGGCACCUGCUGACUCAACAAAGCUGGGUGCUUGCUGAAGUGAGAGCCAAGGUCAGGGGUCAGACUCCUGUUCCCCAUGCAAGCCUCUUCUGCCCCUUCCCCAAGCAGUGAGUAGGGCCGGGCUUUUGCAUCAUCACUCCCCAGCCCCUCCAGGCUGCAGCUAAGCUUCCCUUUCCCUUCAGCCCAGGAUUUUGGGUUAUUUUGUUUUGUUCUCUCACCCGUUCCUCCUUUAUCAGGGAGGUGAGCACCGGAAGUCCUCAGCGGAACUUGGUAUGAAUUCUGAUUUCCUCAUCAUCUCUUUUUCACCCCCAAGCUUCUCUGUUGUGAGAGCCACCCACGGUGGAGCAGGUCAUGACAUACAUUCUCCAGUUCCAGCCAAUCUACUGCCUCAGGGCUAGGCAACUGAGAUAGUUUAUCUCUCUGAGGAGACAAUUCUGUCCUCCCCUCGAUUUGAAAAAAAAAAAAAAACACAGAAUAUUUUAAACUUUGAGGCCAGAAACACAGCAACGGCCUUUAUAGAACAAAUACCUCCCAGCCAAACCAAAACCAGGAGUCAGCUGGCAAGAAGCGAAGAUUAUCCGUUGGGUCCAAUUUCCAAGGAAACCGUACAUGAACCCACCUGGCUGCGGAUAGGAUAACUGCUUUUUCAAUGGAGUAUUCUUCCAUAUACACACCCUCUCCCCCAGGAGCAACUUCCGCAGCCUCAUCAGAAAGAGCGCCAGGUGCUCUGGCUGCGGUAGGAGUUCCUUGAUAGCGUUCCAGAAUGAACACCUUGUGACGCUGCUACACUCAGAAUCACACAGAGCUCAGACGAAGUCUGCUAACUCAAAAUGGAGCUUCUACUUCAGAAACCAUUUGGGCAAAUAUUUAAAAAGCACAGCUGCAUACCACCCUGCAAGAUAGCUGCCUUAUUUUUUUUUCUUUCUGUUUUUCACAAACCUGUAUUUAAAACGAAGGAGGUCCAGUAGGCAUUAGGGAACAAUAGAAAUAUUAAAGAUCGGAUAUCACACCAGGUAGCAUGAAAAAACUUGCCAUUCUAGGAAUGUUAUGGAGGCCAGAUGUCAAAGGAACACCGUGCUGGUAGGCCCUGGAUGGAGGGAGAUCUUGCCGGGGUCCUUUUGUUCAUUGAUCAUUAAGGGACCGGAGGAAAGGCAUGACUAUACAAUUGCUCAGGCGUUGAAGUGAUGCUGUACACGCUACACGCUUUCUCAAUGGAAAGGGAGAUUUGCUCUUCGUUCGUGAGUAACGAAACUCUGCGCCCCUUUCACAAACAUUUACGAGUGGGAAAGAGCCGGACAACAGGGCUGAGCAUUUAAAUCAGAAGAAGCAAAACAACGAGGCUGUGGGCCAUAAGUGGGAAAAGAGUGCCUCUGGUCUGCGCAUGCUCCUACCAAAUACAAAGCCUGUUGUAUCUGUGUAUACCACGUAGCUAAAACCAGCCUUGGGUUUAGCUUUCGGAUGCUAGGCAUCAAAACCUUGGUUGCUAAGGACACCGGGAAAGGUUUCUCGUAAAGAGAAGUAGUAUAGGAUGAUCCAGGAACUUCCUUAUACAAAAGCAUCCUAGAGGACCUGAAAUGAUCCCGAGGGCCCGGAAGCAGAGCUGGCGUGGCUUGAAGGCUUGCGUGGACUAUGUAUUUAUCUGCCACUGAAUCUCAAGGACUCUGCCUUCAAUGGACCUCGUGUAUAUCAAUGGGAAACAGCUGUGGAAAAUCAUGAAGCUGGUCUUGAUAAUCAGGCCUGUUCUCUGGCUUCCCUUCCCUUUCUGAAUCUCAAUGAUCGCAUAUGACUUCACUGGGCCGGAGGAGUCCUCAAAAAGCAGCAUUUCCCUCUACUAUCAGCCUGGGCUCUGGAGCAAAACAAUUCAACAGGAACACUUUGAGAACAGAAUCUCCAUGCAGUGACUCUCUGUUUUGCUUCAGUUUGAUCAACUAGAGCCUGCUUCCUGUCCCCUGUCUUUCAUGUUACACCAUCGCCUGGAUUCUCACCACUAAUCAGCUUGUCUAAUAUUAAAGAAGUUCGAUGCUGGGCAUGCACAGAA